rnacentral:rRNA from 1 species
UACGGGGGGUGCGAGCGUUGUCCGGAUUCACUGGGCGUAAAGGGAGCGUAGGUGGCCUUAUAAGUCAGUGGUGAAAUCUCUCGGCUUAACCGAGAAAUUGCCAUUGAUACUGUAGGGCUUGAGUACAGUUGCUGUGGGCGGAAUAUGACAUGUAGUGGUGAAAUACAUAGAGAUGUCAUAGAACACCGAUUGCGAAGGCAGCUCACAAAACUGUAACUGACACUGAGGCUCGAAAGUGCGGGGAGCAAACAGG